rnacentral:rRNA from 1 species
UUUGAUCCUGCCACCAGUGAUAUGCUUGUCUCAAAAACUAACCCUUGCAUGUGUCAUUAUAUAUUGUGCAUUAAAAAACUGCGAAAAGCUCAUUAAAAAAGUGUAAAUGAAAAGUUGUUAUAAUAAUACCCAUACCUUCUGUAAUUCUGAGGCUAAUGCGUGCAGGCAACAAAACAGUUUCAAAACAUGCACAUAAUAAUUUGAAAUAUCACCAAUUUAUUGGGUUGAUGUGCAACACAAUUAUGUAACCUGUUGCUUGUCACAAAACCAAUUAUAUUCUUACCUAUCACCUUGCAAUGAUACCCUAGUGACGUAUUAUGGCUGUUACGGGUGGCAAAAAAUUAGGGUUUGAUCUCGAAAAGGACGCUUGAAAAAUACCGCCUACAUCUAAGGAAGGCAGCAGGCGCGCAAAUUACCCAAUCUUGACACAAGGAGGUAGUGACAAAAAAUAACUGUGUGUGGCUCUCCCCUGCACAUCCGGAAUGUGUGACAGGUUAAGCGUGUUGCGAGUACCUAUUG